GGGGUUGUAGCUCAGUGGUAGAGUGCUUGCCUCGAAUGCGUGAGGCCCUGGGUUCGGUCCCCAGCACCA
rnacentral:tRNA from 1 species